rnacentral:rRNA from 1 species
CCAAUAGCGUAUAUUAAAGUUGUUGCAGUUAAAAAGCUCGUAGUUGAAUUUCGGGAUUGACGUGAUGGUCAUGCCUUAAGGGGUAUGAACUGUUGCUGUUGAUUUCUCACCUUCUGGAGAAACUUGAUGUCCUUUAUUGGGUGUCUUGCGGAUCCAGGACCUUUACCUUGAAAAAAUUAGAGUGUUUAAAGCAAGCAUUUUUGCUCGAAUACAUUAGCAUGGAAUAAUAGAAUAGGACGGCAUGGUUCUAUUUUGUUGGUUUCUAGGAUCACCGUAAUGAUUAAUAGGGAUAGUUGGGGGCAUUAGUAUUCAAUUGUCAGAGGUGAAAUUCUUGGAUUUAUUGAAGACUAACUACUGCGAAAGCAUUUGCCAAGGAUGUUUUCAUUAAUCAAGAACGAAAGUUAGGGGAUCGAAGACGAUCAGAUACCGUCGUAGUCUUAACCAUAAACUAUGCCGACUAGGAAUCAGACGAUGUUAAUUUUUUAAUGACUCGUUUGGCACCUUACG